GCCGACGUAGCUCAGUGGAAGAGCAGCAGUUUCCGGAACUGAAGGUCGUGGGUUCGAAUCCCACCGCUGGCAC
rnacentral:tRNA from 1 species